rnacentral:rRNA from 1 species
GAUGAACGCUGGCGGCGUGCUUAACACAUGCAAGUCGAACGAAGCACCUUAUUCUGAUUUCUUCGGAAUGAAAAAUUUGGUGACUGAGUGGCGGACGGGUGAGUAACGCGUGGGUAACCUGCCUCAUACAGGGGGAUAACAGUUAGAAAUGACUGCUAAUACCGCAUAAGACCACAGCACCGCAUGGUGCAGGGGUAAAAACUCCGGUGGUAUGAGAUGGACCCGCGUCUGAUUAGGUAGUUGGUGGGGUAAGGGCCUACCAAGCCGACGAUCAGCAGCCGACCUGAGAGUGUGACCGGCCACAUGGGGACUGAGACACGGCCCAAACUCCUACGGGAGGCAGCAGUGGGGAAUAUUGCACAAUGGGGGAAACCCUGAUGCAGCGACGCCGCGUGAGCGAUGAAGUAUUUCGGUAUGUAAAGCUCUAUCAGCAGGGAAGAAAAUGACGGUACCUGACUAAGAAGCACCGGCUAAAUACGUGCCAGCCGCCGCGGUAA